CCUACGGGUGGCAGCAGUGGGGAAUAUUGCACAAUGGGGGGAACCCUGAUGCAGCGACGCCGCGUGGGUGAAGGAGUCUUUCCGUAUGUAAAGCCCUAUCAGCAGGGAAGAACAAUGACGGUACCUGACUCCGAAGCACCGGCUAAAUACGUGCCAGCAGCCGCGGUAAUACGUAUGGUGCAAGCGUUAUCCGGAUUUACUGGGUGUAAAGGGAGCGCAGGCGGCGCGUUAAGCCUGGUGUGAAAGUCCGCGGCCCAACCGCGGGACUGCAGUGGGAACUGGCGCGCUGGAGUGCCGGAGGGGUAGGCGGAAUUCCUAGUGUAGCGGUGAAAUGCGUAGAUAUUAGGAGGAACACCAGUGGCGAAGGCGGCCUACUGGACGGUGACUGACGCUGAGGCUCGAAAGCGUGGGGAGCAAACAGGAUUAGAUACCCUUGUAGUC
rnacentral:rRNA from 1 species